rnacentral:rRNA from 1 species
AUGGCUCACGAAAUGCUCCUUCAGUUAUCUUCGUUGAUGAAAUUGAUUCUUUAUGUGGUACACAUGGAGAAAGCAAUAAAAGUGAAGCUUCUAGGAGAAUCAAGACCGAACAUCUUGUACAGAUGCAGAACAUGGCGACUGGACGUGCUUAGUUGGAAUUUUGUACUUAGGAUGGGUGUUGGCCAUAGUAAUUAUAAAGUUCUUGUUCUUGCUGCUACGAGUACGCCAUAUGCUCUGGACCAGGCUGUGCAGCGACAGUUUGACAAGCGUAUCUACAUUCCUUUACCUGACUCGCAAGCAAUGCAGCAUAGGUUUAAGAUGGAUUUUCUGGUUCCGACAUCGCUCUCUGUAACAGCACAAGUUGUUUCGCACAAUCCUGAGAUUCUUUCACCCCUGAUCCAAAAGACCGAUGUCAAGAAGAUCAUAGCUGGCAGAGGUCGACCGUUGUCAAGACGGAGGUACACAAGAAGUAUAGGAAUGAGUUCGGCGAGGACGGUUGAUGCGCCGCAAGUACUCUCUGUACUCAAUAAGUGCACCAAGGAGUAA